rnacentral:rRNA from 1 species
UACGUAGGGACCAAGCGUUUGUUCGGAUUUACUGGGCGUAAAGGGCGCGUAGGCGGCGUGGUAAGUCACUUGUGAAAUCUCUGAGCUUAACUCAGAACGGCCAAGUGAUACUGCUGUGCUAGAGUACGGAAGAGGCGAGUGGAAUUCCCGGUGUAGCGGUGAAAUGCGCAGAUAUCGGGAGGAACACCAAUUGCGAAGGCAGCUCGCUGGGACGUCACUGACGCUGAGACGGCGAAAGCGUGGGGAGCAAACAGG